UUUGAUCGAUUUCUUCGGAUUGAAAUUUUAGUGACUGAGUGGCGGACGGGUGAGUAACGCGUGGGUAACCUGCCUCACACAGGGGGAUAACAGUUGGAAACGGCUGCUAAUACCGCAUAAGCGCACAGUAUCGCAUGGUACAGUGUGAAAAACUCCGGUGGUAUAAGAUGGACCCGCGUUGGAUUAGCUAGUUGGUGAGGUAACGGCCCACCAAGGCGACGAUCCAUAGCCGACCUGAGAGGGUGACCGGCCACAUUGGGACUGAGACACGGCCCAAACUCC
rnacentral:rRNA from 1 species